AUGAAAAACCCCUGCUAUACAUAUGAAGCACAAUUUAAGCCCAAUACAACUGACCAAUCAAAAUUAGUGAAUGCACUGCAUCUCUCUGCAGUGGAGAGAAGCGACAAGAUGCUUAUUGAUUCCACAGUAGGAAGAGUGAGAGACUGCAGCAGCCUCCAAGCAGCACUACAUGUUCCAUACAUUAGCAGUACUGCUGAAACAAUGGCAUAGUACAGACACAUAUUUUCAUUAAGGUCUCUUCCGAAGAGGUGUUUAUGACCCUCUUUCCCGGUCCUCUACUAACCAGUGAACAAAAUGAAUCAAUCAAAACUGGAAACGCUUCAACUACAUCAAGAAUCUUUCAAAUCUUUAGCAGAGGUAAGCUGUGCUCCUUAUUAUAGUAUUCAGCUGCUUUUGAACCAGCAUAGUGGGGUAAAAUUACUUUGAAAAAUUUUAGCCUAAAUUUUAAGAGUUUAUUUGCUUAAUUCUACUUAUUGCUAAACAUGUAUCUUUUAGAUCUAUUUAAGAUAUGAUAUGUUUUAAAUGUAAUGUUUUAGGAUGGUAUGUUAAAUAUAAAGAAUAUUCUUUGUUGAAUCACGAUGAAGAUCCCAGCUUUUUAAGUCACUUCAGAUUACUAAAUAUCCUAAUGUCAUCACUAGUCUUUCUC
rnacentral:lncRNA from 1 species